AUAAUGUCGUAUAUUUGCUUUUAAAGAAAUCUACCAGGGUUUGACCCGAAUACACAACAUUGCUUGCAUAGGUUGGAUGCUUACUUGAUCAUGCUAGCACUAGCUACACAUGAAGUGCAUUUUGCAAUUCUUAGAGAGAGAAUAUCAAAAUGGGAGAUGAACGAGGUUGAUCCGUUGCCAAUUACUCAAUCUGAUAAUAGAUGCAAGGGCUGAUGUCGGCCUCAUGGGACUGAUUCCUUACCAAAAGGUAUAAUCCGUGAGACCUCCAACUUAGAGAUGUGACCAUUAUGGGGUUUCCUAAAGAAAAAGGGGAACGCAAAAGCUUCGAAUAACUUACUAGCCAUUGCAGUUGGAAUAAAACAGAAAGAAAAUGUGAACCAGAUUGUUGAAAAGGGAAGUGGAUUCGUUGAUUCAGAUGUGACAUCUCCAAAGCAAAUCAAUCGAAAAUUGCUAUUGAAACAGCUAGCAAUAGACCUGUGUACCAGUGAGCGGAGGAUCCUAUUUCACACCCAAUAUGUGUUGUCAACCCCAAGUUGUUUCCAGCAGCAAUGAGUAAAUCGACUGUUUUAUCAUACUAGAUUUGCAGCUUCGCCCCAAUUUCUGUGAUGCGUGGUCAAAUUUAGCUAGUGCAUAUAUGAGGAAAGGAAGACUUAAUGAGGCAGCCUAGUGUUGUCGCCAGGCUCUUGCAUUGAACCCUCACUUGGUGAAUCCUUGUUUUGUUUUAUCAUUUAGUUUCCUUCUUUUAUUGUAGAUGCAUUGAAAUUACUAUUUGCAUAUCUUCCCCUUAUUGGCAGGUUAAUGCUCAUAGCAACCUUGGUAAUCUGAUGAAGGCACAAGGCUUAGUAAGAGAAGUAAGUCAUAGUGGAUUCGAUACAUUAUUUUCAUUGGAUGUUCUUUAAGACUCGAAGUAGAAUUCGAGAACCAUGAUCCAUGACUGGACUGCACUGGUUUGAGCAGUUGUUCUACUAAUGGUGUGUCUUAAUUUUUCUAAUAAGCUGUUUUGAAACU